CUCUUUCAUUCAGUAAUUGUUCCCGUAUUGGUCUCUCUUUGAGCCUUCAAUGCUGCAUCCCUAAUAACUCUGUUAUUACUGUUUGCUAUGUUCUGCAGUUACCUUCAAAAUGGGUCAUAUGAAUGUUCAUCAACAUCGAGGAUCUCGUAAAACUCGGCGAUUUCAUGGCUGACCACUUUCUCGGUUCUAAUGGAGGUUGGGACAGCUUCCAUGCAUAUUUGUUUUAUUUCGGUGGCUCUCUAUGCAGUGCUGUUGAUCUAUGUCAGGUUUGUGUAUUGCAUGGAUUGCAUCUACAACAAUAUUUAUGGCUGGAUGAAAAAUUGAAACAUGUUAUUGAUAGUGAGCACAUAUUGUCUUUCUCUAGUUAAAUCACAUCUUUCAGCUGCAAACUCCGUACUUAAUUUUGAUAAAAAAUUAAUUUAUAAAUAUGAUGCAAUCAGAGAAAAGCUAGUAGGUAGCCAAUCUCAAUGGUCCUGCUUUUAAAUGCUCAGCACACCUUGCGAUGAUCUUAGACGGAACAUUUUGCAAUUCCAAACUUGAACUGUGAACACUCUGGAAUCCUGGACUGCAUCAAUCUAAGAAUUAUGUGUUCGGUGCUUUUAGUAAACAUCUCUGAAUCUGAUGCUUAUUGAGCUAUUUCUGAAAGAUCAGAAUCAUAGCAGGGUAGUAAGAAAGUAGUUACACGCUAAUGGUGCCAACUGUACUAUUUUCCCCUUUGAGUUCUCAAGAUUGAUUAUUGCUGCAAAUCACUAUCUGUUAUUUGAUUUUGGUAGGCCAAGGUUUCUUCUUCCACUCCAAUGCAAGCAGUAUUAUCAAUAACUCAUUAAAAAAACUAAACAUGUGGGUACACCUUUUUUCAGUUUUUUAUUUGUCAUUCCUUAUUAUGUCAAAUGUACCCACAAUUUUCUUGGUAUUCUGCAGCUCACUGCUGUGCACAAUUUUUCUUGAUGAAUUAAUUUUGCAAUUGUGAUCUUGAUUUUUUUGAGGAACAUACAGUAGGUAGAAAUGCCUACUGCAAUAUUGUCAUCUUGAUUUGGGUGCAUGAUCCACUAAUAAAACUUUAAAGGUAUGCAUUAAAUAGUUUGUAUGCAUUACCUUUUGCAAGGGUAGUUUCUGUGCAUCAUUUCUCGUGAAACAGUCAUAGUUUCCUACUUUGUCAUUGACGAGGUUCUACCUCGGCAAUGCCCAAGUUUAGGGCUUAUGUUUAUGGAGAGCAAGGGGUGUAACGGUGAUCUCGUCGACUAACAAGGACUAGGGGACACAAGUUUACCCAGGUUCAAGGCCCUCCAGGAGGUAAUACCACUACGUCCUGCUCUAGAUGUUUGUAUCGAUGAUGAUUACAGAGAGGCCGAUGAGGCUAUGGUGCGCAGAUUGGAUCUGGCGAGUGCGUAUGAGAUGGCUUCUCCUUCCCGGCUCCCCCUCCUAGUCCUUUAUAUGUAGGAGGCUAGGUCUCGGGCAUGGAGUCCAGGUUGGUUACAACAGAUCAACAGAAUUAGGAAUCUCUAGAUUAUAUUCCUUGUCUUGAGCCACAAUUCUAGGUACUCGGGCUUCAUGGACCCCAGUGGGCCUUCGGAUGGGCUUCAUGCUGGGCCGCAGAGGGUAUAUGAAGGAUGAGGACCCAGCAGGUCAUUCCCUCGUCAGUCAUAGUUUUCUACUUUUCUUAACAGCUACUCUUGCAAGACAAUGGCAUCCUGGACGGGGGAGGAAAAAUGUUUCAAGCUUUGGUGGUGGCUAAAAUUAUUGAUUAUAUAUUCAGAUGAGUUUUCAUGUUCUUUUCUGCUCUGCAGCCAUUUCUUUGUAUUUGAAUGCUUUUCAGUAAUGGAGGAAGAGGAAAAUACAUCCCUUUAGUUUGAUAAUAAUUCUAGUUAGCCAAUAUACUUUACUUAUGCAGAAGGAAUUCAUAGUAGAGUUGACAAGGAAAAUGACUUUUUUUCAAGAAAAAACAUAAAAGUGUGAGAUUGGUUCCUUGUUGAGAACAAGCAUGCAACGAUGCAGUUUGGUUUUUAGUGUUCGCAAUUCGGUAUCACUGAAGUGCUACAUGCCAGUGAAAUUAAAAUUUGGCCAUUGUUGACGGUAGUAAAGUGCUUGCUCUGUUUACAUGGCUGAACUUGUUAAUAAACUUUAAAGGUAACAAAAACUGUGCUGGCCAUGUUCCAAUAGGUCAUUCUGCUUAAUUCUUGAACUUACAUUAAAGGAACUAUCAGUUGUGCAUCUAGUGUGUGCUACUCCUUGACUGUUUUCUGGGAACAAAACGCACACAUCACUGGUGAACACAUUCUAUACUGCACAUAAAACUGUAUGAUGGAUUUCUAUACAGGUUUGGGAAUUUUUGGCAAGUCAUGUUGUUCUCCUUUGUGCCCUUGCCGCCUGAUCAUCAAUAGCUUUAUUAUCACUUAUCUGCUAGGGAAGUCAAAGGACUAUCUGUACUUAUUAUUGGUUUCCCUUAGCAUCCUUCGGUGUUUGGCUAGUUACUCAUCAUGGGAGGGUGUGAGACAUGUUUGUCAAACGUACUGUUUUUAUUUGUUUACAAACCAAAAGUGUACUUAUUAGAGAAAUUGCCUUUGCAAUAUGAUAGUAGCUAAUGGAACUGUCAGAAAACUAAUCAGUAUGUUGCAUCAGAGAGUUGCUGAGUUAGUGUCUGCUUACUGAGAUAUAUUAUUUUGCAGUUAACUGGUUGCAUUCAGUUAAUAAUCUGAUUAUACUUACGCAGUAAUUACUCCAGUAAUUAAUAUCUGUUCCUUCUUCAGUAGUUCUCCAGUGAAUUAAUUAUGGGUUUGUUGUUUUUCCCUUCAAGUAGCUUUCCUGGUGCAAAGAAAAUCGGAUAAUUGGAAAACCUUGAUGUUCUCUGCAGUUUGGCUGUUUGGGCCCCAAGUUAUUUUCUUCAUAUGAACUUUUGCCAAGAAAUUGAAUUACAUGCUUACUAUAACCUUGCUACACCAGAUUGCUUGUUGAUAUGUCCCCCUAUCAUCUCAUUGAUUAUUUGAUAUCAUUGAAAAGUGACCUGAGCUCUUUAUGGAUUUAGUGAGGCAAUGUUUAUAAUACAACAAUAUUUGGGUACUACAGGUGCUUACAUGUUAGGAGUUCUUUGAUCGGGCUUGGCUGCUAAGGUACUACCAUGCUUGCCCAGAUAGUAGUUUCUCUACUUUGUCAACAAAUGGAGAGUGCUGAAAUAUGAUCAAUUUCUGUUGUUAUAUGAGAAACCAAUGGAUGGACAAUAAAGCAUACUGAUGGUCUGUUUUGAAAAUUUCUUAACAGAUCAUGUGUUACUGAGAAACAGUUAAUUAGAUUCCACAAUCUUGGUUAUAUGGAUGUUUGUUAGUAACAUCAUAUUCAGGGCUAUGCAGCCACGCGCAGUGAGCUUGGCUAGUAAAAUUCAUGGUCUUUCAUAAUUUAUAUGCAUCUGCUCUUGUGGCAAAUUAAGCAUCAGCACAUAAUCUCAUUUUCUGUUUUGUUUUUCUUUCUAAAAGAAAUGAUUUCUGUGAACAACAUGUUCACCUCUGGGGACGUAGACGGUACAUGGCAUAAUAGCUUUGCACAUAUGAGCAGCAUGGUAUAGAUGUCAUUCAGAAAUGGUACCUGGAGUCCUGGAUUAUACCCACAAAUCGAAUUCGAUUCGUGUUUAUAUUUGGGAUGAGUUUUGAUGCUUAAAAUAUCAUUGGACAUGCCACUGAGGUUUAUAUACUACCUGUAUUUUCUGAAUUGGAUGGUUCUUGAAACUUCGGCCACCUCACUCUGAAUUGUUGCGAUCGGCCCGUUGUGAUUCAGUCAAAUUGCCAAGUCCUGCUAUAAGUUGUGAAGAACACGAGUCCUGGUCGGUCAAAGAUUCAUGGUGGUGAUCAAUGAUAUUAAAGUCUCUGAUUUCUGGGAUUCGAGAAUUUAUGCUCAAAAUAGGUUUGCACACUGUUUAGCAAAGUCGUCAAGGGAACUUGGUAGUACUGGCACUGGUGUUAUGUAUAAUCAAGCUACUGGCUUUGUUUUUGGAACUCGUGAGUUCUGAUUGUAAUCCUUAUAUUGAGUAAUGAAACUCUCGUUUCACCGAAAA